rnacentral:rRNA from 1 species
UACAGAGGUCCCAAGCGUUGUUCGGAUUCACUGGGCGUAAAUGGUGCGUAGGCGGUCGGGUAAGUCUGAUGUGAAAUCUCACAGCUUAACUGUGAAACUGCAUUGGAUACUAUCCGGCUCGAGGAAUGGAGGGGAGACUGGAAUACUUGGUGUAGCAGUGAAAUGCGUAGAUAUCAAGUGGAACACCAGUGGCGAAGGCGAGUCUCUGGACAUUUCCUGACGCUGAGGCACGAAAGCCAGGGGAGCAAACGGG